rnacentral:lncRNA from 1 species
AUGAGGGGCCUCCCCGGUGUGAGGGGCCCGAUGGCGGGCUUGUGCUCUCUCUUUCUUUCUCUUAUUACAGGUGCGGCAGCGUGGAGGCUGGUCCCUGGUCCUGGUAGUGCCAAAGUGCUCAUAGUGCAGAUGAAGAAACUGACGGCAGCUAGCCCUCCAAUCCAGACCUUUUUGAUUCCUGAUAAAAUGACUUGAGGUCCUUAUUCUUUAAUCUGCCGGGGCUGAAAAGCAGCAGUCCUGAGAACGUGGUUUCACUGCCUCAUCUGGGCCACUGGAGAAGAGCUGAGAGCACUGGCGACCACUUGGCUUUGAGUGUCCUCUUUGGAAAGUUAGAUUGUAGGUCUUUAGGAUUUAAAUUCAGCUUCCUAAGCUAUGAAAGAGUAACUUGGGUUUUUCUAGUAUUGAAUGUUGUGUAAUAUUCUCUGGCAAAUAAUGUCUAUAAUGAACCUGGGAAAGAGAAAGAAGGGAGCCCUCUCCCCAGGAUUUGGAGUUUGGGGGGAGACCUGGGUUUGAGUCGCACCAGUACAGCCAGGAGCUAGCUCUUUGACCAUGGGCUAGUUAUUGGCCCAAAAAAUGUAAAAUGGCAUACUAAUUACAAAACCUAAUUCAAUUCUCUUUCUGGGCGGGAAGGCUUUGGAAAUGUAAACUGCUAAAGAAAUGUAAAUUAGUAUGUUCAACUUCCUGUUGCCCUGUAGUCUCCAAGGAAUUCUUUGUGCCCUUCCCCCACACUUGUAACUUGUAUGUAUUACCUCUUUGUAUAUAUUAUCUCUUCUCCCUUCCCUCUUGUAAAAUGGAAGCUCCUUGAGGGGCAGGAAUUGGCCUUGUGUCUUGGUGUCCUCAGUGCCUGCCACAUAGUAGGCUUGCUUAAUAAAUGUUUGUUGGAUUGAAUGCGU